GUGGGGAAUAUUGGACAAUGGGGGGAACCCUGAUCCAGCCAUGCCGCGUGUGUGAAGAAGGCCUUUUGGUUGUAAAGCACUUUAAGCGAGGAGGAGGCUACCGAGAUUAAUACUCUUGGAUAGUGGACGUUACUCGCAGAAUAAGCACCGGCUAACUCUGGGCCAGCAGCCGCGGUAAUACAGAGGGUGCAAGCGUUAAUCGGAUUUACUGGGCGUAAAGCGCGCGUAGGUGGCCAAUUAAGUCAAAUGUGAAAUCCCCGAGCUUAACUUGGGAAUUGCAUUCGAUACUGGUUGGCUAGAGUAUGGGAGAGGAUGGUAGAAUUCCAGGUGUAGCGGUGAAAUGCGUAGAGAUCUGGAGGAAUACCGAUGGCGAAGGCAGCCAUCUGGCCUAAUACUGACACUGAGGUGCGAAAGCAUGGGGAGCAAACAGGAUUAGAUACCCGGGUAGUCC
rnacentral:rRNA from 1 species